GAAAUGGUCUGAAAAAAUGUGUGAAGACCAUCAUUCCGCAUUCCACAUUGAAUAACAUCAUGAAGGUUUAAGAUCCUCUUCAAAAGCUUCAAAGGUC